ACUCAAAGGAAUUGACGGGGGCCCGCACAAGCGGCGGAGCAUGUGGAUUAAUUCGAUGCAACGCGAAGAACCUUACCUGGGUUUGACAUGCGCAGGACGCGUCCGGAGACGGGCGUUCCUUUACGGUCUGCGUGCAGGUGGUGCAUGGCUGUCGUCAGCUCGUGUCGUGAGAUGUUGGGUUAAGUCCCGCAACGAGCGCAACCCUUGUCUCAUGUUGCCAGCGCGUCACGGCGGGGACUCGUGAGAGACUGCCGGGGUCAACUCGGAGGAAGGUGGGGACGACGUCAAGUCAUCAUGCCCCUUAUGCCCAGGGCUUCACACAUGCUACAAUGGCCGGUACAAUGGGCUGCGAUGCCGUGAGGCGGAGCGAAUCCCGUAAAGCCGGUCUCAGUUCGGAUCGGGGUCUGCAACCCGGCCCCGUGAAGCCGGAGUCGCUAGUAAUCGCAGAUCAGCAAUGCUGCGGUGAAUACGUUCCCGGGCCUUGUACACACCGCCCGU
rnacentral:rRNA from 1 species